rnacentral:rRNA from 1 species
AUUGAACGCUGGCGGCAUGCCUUACACAUGCAAGUCGAGCGGCAGCGCGGGGGCAACCCUGGCGGCGAGCGGCGGACGGGUGAGUAAUACAUCGGAACGUGUCCUGUCGUGGGGGAUAACCAGUCGAAAGACUGGCUAAUACCGCAUGAGAUCGAAAGAUGAAAGCGGGGGACCGCAAGGCCUCGCGCGAUUGGAGCGGCCGAUGCCGGAUUAGCAGUUGGCGGGGUAAAGCCCACCAAGGCUACGAUCCGUAGCUGGUUUGAGAGAACGACCAGCCACACUGGGACUGAGACACGGCCCAGACUCCUACGGGAGGCAGCAGUGGGGAAUUUUGGACAAUGGGCGCAAGCCUGAUCCAGCCAUGCCGCGUGUGUGAAGAAGGCCU